UAAAUAAGGUGCAGAGUUAUCAGAGUUCUCCAUGACAAUGGAGAAAAGAGAAGGAUGAGAGCUGAACUCCAAAAAGACAUUGGAAGAGUAAAGGGAAAGAGAUAAAGGAAACAUCUAAGUAGGGUUCCAGGUUUCUGCGCUAGAUUUCCUUAGGUUUUCCUCUACAUUCAGCGGCAUUUCCAGCCUAUUUAGUUCGGAUGAUAAAUUUGGGAUGGAUUCACUUUAACAUAGUGAGAUUCCUUAAAAGUCCUCUCAAGCAUGAACCAGAAAACAGUAGAAAAAUGGUGAUGUCAGAGAUGGGUUUACAUUGAUAUGCCAAGUCCAUCAUCCCCUCUGCUUCUCUCUUAAGGAUGACUAAGAACUUUACCGCAGUCAAGAAGUCCUUCUGAGAAAAAAAGAACUAUUGAGGUUCAUUAUUACAAAAAUAGAAUGAAGAAU
rnacentral:lncRNA from 1 species